ACCCGCACAAGCGGUGGCUGAUGUGGAUUAGUUCGAUGCAACGCGAAGAACCUUACUACCCUUGACAUGUCCGGAACUUGCCAGAGAUGGCUUGGUGCCCGAAAGGGAAUCGGAACACAGGUGCUGCAUGGCUGUCGUCAGCUCGUGUCGUGAGAUGUUGGGUUAAGUCCCGCAACGAGCGCAACCCUUAUCAUUAGUUGCUACGCAAGGGCACUCUAAUGAGACUGCCGGUGACAAACCGGAGGAAGGUGGGGAUGACGUCAAGUCCUCAUGGCCCUUAUGGGUAGGGCUUCACACGUCAUACAAUGGUCGGUACAGAGGGUUGCCAAGCCGCGAGGCGGAGCCAAUCCCACAAAGCCGAUCGUAGUCCGGAUUGUUCUCUGCAACUCGAGAGCAUGAAGUCGGAAUCGCUAGUAAUCGCAGGUCAGCAUACUGCGGUGAAUACGUUCCCGGGUCUU
rnacentral:rRNA from 1 species